rnacentral:lncRNA from 1 species
ACCAAGAAGUUGGUUAUUGACUUCGGAAGCAAUGCCAUUAGGAUAAUAUGAUAGAAAGUCCCGAGUGUUCCGACUGUUUUUUAAAUGACCAUGACACUGAGAAAACACCAUGAGAAAAUACCAUAACAAUAAGACUGCAUGGCAUCGUGAAAUUGUGAAUAUAAAAUCAAAUCUACUUCAAUGCAGAGUGUAACAGAUUUUUCAAUUCGACACGUCAUGUAUACAUGCAGUAUUAUACUCUGUCUUUGCAUACAUACAUGUAUA